GCGAGGCGGGCGGUGGAGGCGAGAGGGGAGCAGCCGAGCGCCAGACUCGGGUAGCCCAGAGCUGGGUGCUGGGACGCCUCAGUCAACGCACUGCCCCAGGCGGGGGUCGCACGGCUCUUACCUUGGUGUGGAAAUUGUAGCAGACAUGAAGAUGUAUUGUUCAGAAGCGGAAUCAAGAAAGCACUGCCAAGCCACAGGCAGCAUCGUGAACUUCUGUGGGGUCUGCCUCAGUCAGUGGGAUGUUGAGAUAAAAGGAAGAGAAGCAAGCAGAGAGUGGGGACCUCAUACCACCAAGAAAGCAGCACCAGGAGCAGAGCGCAUCCUUUGAACCUGGGAUCCCUACACCUGAGAACCUCAUCGACCAUGGGAAGAUUGAGGGCAAGGACCUUCCUCCACAGCCGACAAAGAGAGAAAGCCUUCUCCUGGAGCUAACACCCUGAAUUUGGACUUGUAACCUACUAGACUGUGAGAGAAAUAAAUUUCUCUUUGUUAAAGCCAUCCACUUGUGGUAUUUCUGUUAUGGCAGCACUAGAUAACCAAGACACCCAGUAAGC